rnacentral:rRNA from 1 species
AUUCCAGCUCCAAUAGCGUAUAUUUAAGUUGUUGCAGUUAAAAAGCUCGUAGUUGGAUUUCGGGUGAGGAUGACCGGUCUGCCGUUGCGGUACGCACUGGACGUUUUCAUCUUGUUGUCGGGGACGCGCUUCUGGGCUUCACUGUUCGGGACGCGGAGUCGGCGCUGUUACUUUGAAAAAAUUAGAGUGUUCAAAGCAGGCAAUCGCUCUGAAUACAUUAGCAUGGAAUAACGCUAUAGGACUCUGGUCCUAUUGUGUUGGUCUUCGGGACCGGAGUAAUGAUUAAGAGGGACAGUUGGGGGCAUUCGUAUUUCAUUGUCAGAGGUGAAAUUCUUGGAUUUAUGAAAGACGGACUUCUGCGAAAGCAUUUGCCAAGGAUGUUUUCAUCA